rnacentral:tRNA from 1 species
GUGGAGAUAGCUCAGUGGUAAAGCACUUGCCUAGCAGGCAUGAAGCCCUGGGUCCAAUCCCAUCACCACA